AAUCAACGCUGGCGGCGUGCCUAACACAUGCAAGUCGAACGAGAAAGUGGAGCAAUCCAUGAGUAAAGUGGCGCACGGGUGAGUAACACGUGACUAACCUACCCUUGAGUGGGGGAUAACCUAGGGAAACCUGGGCUAAUACCGCAUAAUACCUACGGGUCAAAGGAGCAAAUUCGCUUUGGGAGGGGGUCGCGGCCGAUUAGUUAGUUGGCAGGGUAAUGGCCUACCAAGCGAUGAUCGGUACCGGCCUGAGAGGGCGCACGGACACACUGGAACUGAAACACGGUCCAGACUCCUACGGGAGGCAGCAGUGGGGAAUUUUGCGCAAUGGGGGAAACCCUGACGCAGCAACGCCGCGUGGAGGAUGAAGUCCC
rnacentral:rRNA from 1 species